rnacentral:rRNA from 1 species
AUCGCCUCAGUAACGGCGAGUGAAGCGGCAAAAGCUCAGAUUUGAAAUCUGGCGUCAUCUUGGCGUCCGAGUUGUAAUCUGUAGAGGAGUAUUCGAGUGUGGCGUUGGCUUAAGUUCCUUGGAACAGGACGUCAUAGAGGGUGAGAACCCCGUUAACGGCCUUUGUCUUAUGCUCAUGUGAAUCUCCUUCAACGAGUCGAGUUGUUUGGGAAUGCAGCUCUAAAUGGGUGGUAAAUUCCAUCUAAAGCUAAAUACUGGCAAGAGACCGAUAGCGCACAAGUAGAGUGAUCGAAAGAUGAAAAGAACUCUGAACAGAGAGUUAAAUAGUACGUGGAAUUGUUGAAAGGGAAGCACUUGCUACCAGACACGCCUGUAGUUGAUCAGCCUUCAUUCUUGAUGGUGCACUCGGCUACAUGGUGGGUCAGCAUCAGUUGUGGCGGUGGGAUAAAGACCUGGGGAAUGUGGCUUCUCUCGGGAAGUGUUAUAGCCCUGGGUGCAAUACCGCCUGCUGCGACUGAGGACCGCGCCC